UCAUGUAAUCACUAUUCUAACCAACCUCUUUCCCUCUUCCUUCCUCUUCGCUUUCUUUUCAAGAAACAUGUAUUGAAUGCUUCCUCUGUACGAGGUGGGUCAGGCGGAUACUGCAGAGGUGAGCAAGCAAAACCUGGUCCUUGCCCUGACGGGAUAUUGGGCAAAGUCAGAAGACAGAAUAAGCAAUUAGGAAACCUGGUGGCGAGGGUAUGGCAGAGUUUGCAGAGCUGUGAGAACAGAGGCGGGACGGCCAUGACCUUGCUUGGCUCUUGAAGUGUAGUCGAAUUUACACAGCAACCCUCUGGGCUGCCUGUCAGAAGCCCCGUUUGUGUGUGACAGUGCUGAGUUUCAGAGAGGUCCGGACACUUACUCAAGCCCAUGCAGAUGGCAAGCGACAGGGCUGCUAUUCAAGCCUGGGUCUGGAACACUCAAGGCUGGUGCUUUCCUCGUUGGACCAAGUCACCCGGAACUAAUGGAAGCAACCUCCAAUGGAAUGACUGCUUUUUACUGUGAAGAGUCUCGGGGCCCCUGACAUCUUCAGGUAUGCAUGCCUCCUGGAGCCUGCCUCAAGUCCCAAAGUCCUUAGUUUUCUUUGUUAGGAGCUAAUUUGGCUGCACUGGCUACAGGGAAAUUCCCCACCAUUUUGAAAAUCCAAGCUCUGUGGUCAUCUCUGUCUUCUAGUACCUGUCUCCCUCCACAAUCUGCUUUGUACCAGGGAAGAGUUUCACCUGGGGCUGGAGAACAUCUUUGACUUUCUGUUUGCCUCAAAAGAAGCUAAGUGCUGCCUAUCUAUAGAAAUUUAUGCUAUUUCUACGAGUGCAAACUGUGUAACUACACAGAGCUUGGAGACUGGGGUUGGAAAGGGAGUAGCUCAGCUUGAAUCUAUUUUUGGCCAGAUCCAAUUUAGAGGAAGAACGCCACUUUCAUGAUGAUGGUGAUGAUGAUGAUGAUGAUUACUCUUUGAAGGAGUAGCUCUUCUAGUGACACGUGAUGAGUGUCACGUGAUCAGCAUAAGCACGCAAGAGCACACCCUCCAUUCUACAUUAACGGAGGGACGGGAGGGUGGGCGCCCCUAAAAUUUUUAAAUCAUAAGGAUACAUACACAAAGUCAGAUGUGAUGACUUCAAAUCAAUCACAGUUGUGGCCAAGCCAUAUUUUCCAACAAAGCUGCCAGCUGCCACGGUCUGUAAUGCAUCCGGAACUCUUCUUUUUUGCUACCUUUUAUAAAACCCGUGUCAGAUUACUUGGAAUGUCCUCAAGAACGUACAAAUCUUUGGUUUUUUUGUUCUGUGAUUUUGGGGACUGUUCUCGGUUGAAUAGUGAACCCACCAAAUUCACAUCCACCUGGAAGCUAAGAACAUGCAGACAUAUUAAGAGGGCAAGUUUAGGGUGGAUCCUAUAUCCUAUAUAACUGGUAUCCUUAGAAAGAGGAGAGAAAAGAAGAGACACAGAGACAGAGGCAUACAGGGAGAAUGCUGUGUGAUGGAGAAGGUCAAAGUGCUGUGUCUACAAGCCAAGAAAUGUCAAGGAUUGCUAGGGACCUCCAGAGCUAGGAAGAGGAAGGGAAGACUAGACACUAUAGAGAGUGACACGGCCCUGCCACGACCUUGAUUUUGGACUUCUAGACUCCACAACUAUGAGAGAAAACAUUUCUGUUGUUUAACCCACUCGGCGUGUGGUACCUUGUACGACAGUCCCAGGAAGCUAACACAGGAGCUAAGUCGGUUGACUGAGGAAGUAAUCAAGCUGAGUAAUUCUGCUGCUGAUCAAACAAACGCUGUGAUCAACCAGACCAGACGGAUUUAAAGGACACAACAGAGACAAAUUCUACCCACACCGAUGCUGUCUCUACGUGAAGCCUGCUCUGACCUUCAGCCCCCAGAACCUGUAUAAGUGCUCGUAAGCUUUUUUGCCCUGUGCCCUUAUUUCACGAAGACAACUCAUGUACACAGUCAGUUCUCGUUUUUAUAACGUGUGUCUUUUCUCAAGCGGAUGGCGUGCGUUUUGAGCAGAAGCCACGUUGAUACGUCUUUUAUAUUCUGUCCUCCUUAGCGAGUCCCACGUCAUCUCACGCAGCAUGGAUGGAGCGGUAAGUAUUUGUCCUGCCGACCACCCGCGAUCGUGUUCCACUUCCGAACACCUGCUGGUUAUUCUCGUGCAGGUUUCCUUUUAAGUGGCACAACCAAGCGGUCAGUCUAGUGAUCCACUCAUUCAUUUAUUCAUCUGCUUAUGCUUUUCUUCACUCACUCGCCAUAGCCUUACUAGGCAGCUGCUGUCUCCCAGGUACUGUUCUAGGGCCAAUUCUCUCUGCCUUUGGCUGAACGGCCCACUUCAUUUUGGAUAUGGUGUUUCUCGUCACAGAGCCAGACUCCUUCUCCCAUUUGCCACAUUCAACAAGGAUUCAGUGUACCGGAUGUGUUUUUCUGCUCUAAGCGCAGCUUAGCGAGUGGUACCCAGAUGAGUCACAUCAUGGGGAGGAACUAAGGUGUGGAAAGAUUCCUUUGGCUCCCCAGGUAGAGCACUCACCUUCCUGCAGUUGGCAAAUGUCUUGCCCAAGGGACUCAAGCCUUGGUAUUUGAAGGUGUACCGGGCCGAGUUAAUCCUGUCCUGUUUUUUGAAUAGUUCCUGAUGUUUACCCAGUUGAAAGAGAAUUAAACAGUGCCAGAGACUCCGUGGAUGCAUGAAUCAGAAGAACGGCGGAGUCCUAAUGCAAAGUUCUCCACGUAAAGGCACAUUCUGGCUCUUGCCCCCGACACGGUCCCAGCUCUCGGGCUGCCAUUACCCGGUACCCCACCCUACCAAGAAUGGGCAUUGGACUAACUGCGGUUUGGGAGGGAAGCUUCUGAGUUCCAAGAUUCUUCUGAACUCCACUUGCUUUAAGUGAUUUUCACUGCAGAGUUGCAUCAAAGCUCUUUUUUUGGCAAAGAAGUUGCCAUAUACGAUUAAAAAUAAUUUGGGGGGCAGGAUCUCUACCAGGAAUUGAACAAACAAUGUACUGUCUUAAGCUGGUUCCAAAUUCCUAAUGCAUCUGUUUUGUACAGUCCCCAUUUCAUAAAACUACAAUUCCUCGUU